rnacentral:rRNA from 1 species
UACGUAGGGUGCGAGCGUUAAUCGGAAUUACUGGGCGUAAAGCGUACGCAGGCGGCUUGGUAAGACAGAUGUGAAAUCCCCGGGCUCAACCUGGGAACUGCAUUUGUAACUGCCAGGCUCGAGUUUGUCAGAGGGGGGUGGAAUUCCACGUGUAGCAGUGAAAUGCGUAGAGAUGUGGAGGAACACCGAUGGCGAAGGCAGCCCCCUGGGAUGAGACUGACGCUCAUGUACGAAAGCGUGGGGAGCAAACAGG